rnacentral:rRNA from 1 species
AUUGAACGCUGGCGGCAUGCCUUACACAUGCAAGUCGAACGGCAGCACGGGUGCUUGCACCUGGUGGCGAGUGGCGAACGGGUGAGUAAUACAUCGGAACAUGUCCUGUAGUGGGGGAUAGCCCGGCGAAAGCCGGAUUAAUACCGCAUACGAUCUACGGAUGAAAGCGGGGGACCUUCGGGCCUCGCGCUAUAGGGUUGGCCGAUGGCUGAUUAGCUAGUUGGUGGGGUAAAGGCCUACCAAGGCGACGAUCAGUAGCUGGUCUGAGAG